rnacentral:tRNA from 1 species
GCCUCUGUAGCUCAGCGGUAGAGCAUCCGCCUUGUAAGCGGAAGGUCAUGGGUUCGAGACCCAUCGGAGGCU